UUGACAGCCCUGAAGACCAAAGUCCUUUAUUUAUGCAUGAGCAGCAACAGUUCUGGCUUUCCCACACUGCCCUCCUGAUAUGUUUCACCCAUGACCUGAAGGAUCCCCCUUAGGGGUGACAGCUUUGUAGCCUUCAGACCCAUUCACUCCUCCAGUCCU
ensembl:misc_RNA